rnacentral:rRNA from 1 species
GUACCGUGAGGGAAAGGUGAAAAGAACCCCGAAAGGGGAGUGAAAUAGAACUGAAACCGUGUGCUUACAAGCCGUUGGAGCAUUUAUAUGUGACAGCGUGCCUAUUGAAGAAUGAGCCGGCGAGUUAAUCUAUAUAGCAAGCUUAAGGCAUUAAGUGCUGGAGGCGAAGCGAAAGCAAGUCUGAAUAGGGCGCUUAGUUGUAUGGAUUAGACCCGAAACCGUGUGAGCUACCUAUGGCCAGGGUGAAGCGAAAUUAACGUUUCGUGAAGGCCCGAACCCUUGUACGUUGCAAAGUGCUGGGAUGAGCUGUGGGUAGAGGAGAAAUUCCAAUCGAACACGGAGAUAGCUGGUUCUCCCCGAAAUGUAUUUAGGUACAGCCUUAGGUAUUAACUGAUGGAGGUAGAGCACUGGAUGAGCUAGCGGACGCAAGUUUAGCAAACUCAACCAAACUCCGAAUGCCAUCAGCCGAAUCCUAGGAGUGAGACAGUGACGGAUAAGCGCCAUUGUCGAAAGGGAAACAGCCCAGAUCGCAAGCUAAGGUCCCCAAGUAAUGACUAAGUGGUAAAGGAGGUGGGAUCGCCCAGACAGCUAGUAGGUUGGCUUAGAAGCAGCCAUCCUUUAAAGAGUGCGUAAUAGCUCACUAGUCGAGGGGUUCUGCGCCGAAAAUUAUCGGGGCUAAGUCAUUCACCGAAGCUGCGGGAUACUUUAUUGUAUCGGUAGGGGAGCGUUCUCAAUGCGUUGAAUUUAAAUCGUGAGAUUUGGUGGAGCGUUGAGAAGUGAGAAUGUCGGCAUGAGUAGCGACAAUCUUUGUGAGAAUCAAAGACACCGGAAGUCCGAGGUUUCCUACGCAACGUUGAUCGGCGUAGGGUUAGUCGGUCCUAAGGAGUAGCCGAAAGGUGAAUUCGAUGGACAGCUGGUCAAAAUUCCAGCACCGUAAUUAUCCUGUUAUGCAAAGAAGGGACGCGAUAAGGAAUGCUUAGCAUGCCCAUUGGACAUGGCGUGUGGGGCCCUGUAGGGAAGUGAUUGUGGUUAAAAGAACAGUUACGUUAUUAACUGAGGGGGUUUCAGACUUUAAGGCUUCGGCCUUAAAGAAUUAAGCAAGAACUAUGUCGCCGAGAAAAGCUUCGUUGAUAGGGAUAUUAUGACCGUACCGAAAACCGACACAGGUGGACAGUGGUAAAAGCCACUAGGUGAACGAGAAAACCAUCCUCAAGGAACUCGGCAAAUUAACCCCGUAACUUCGGAAUAAGGGGAGCCUGAGACAUAUUAGACUUCGCGUCGAAAGUGUUCCAGGCCGCAGAGAAUUGGUCUGAGCGACUGUUUAUCAAAAACACAGGUCUGUGCUAAAUCGAAAGAUGACGUAUACAGGCUGACGCCUGCCCAGUGCCGGUAGGUUAACGCGAGAAGUGAGAGCUUUGAGCCGAAGCCCCGGUGAACGGCGGCCGUAACUAUAACGGUCCUAAGGUAGCGAAAUCCCUUGUCGGGUAAGUUCCGACCUGCACGAAAGGCGUAACGACUUGGACACUGUCUCGAGGGUGGACUCGGUGAAAUUGCAUGACCCGUAAAGAUGCGGGUUACGCGCAGCAGGACAAAAAGACCCCGUGGAGCUUUACUGUAGCUUGACAUUGAAUUGUGAUU